GAUGAACGCUGGCGGCGUGCCUAAUACAUGCAAGUCGAGCGAACGGACGAGAAGCUUGCUUUUUUGAUGUUAGCGGCGGACGGGUGAGUAACACGUGGAUAACCUACCUAUAAGACUGGGAUAACUUCGGGAAACCGGAGCUAAUACCGGAUAAUAUUUUGAACCGCAUGGUUCAUAAGUGAAAGACGGUCUUGCUGUCACUUAUAGAUGGAUCCGCGCUGCAUUAGCUAGUUGGUAAGGUAACGGCUUACCAAGGCAACGAUGCAUAGCCGACCUGAGAGGGUGAUCGGCCACACUGGAACUGAGACACGGUCCAGACUCCUACGGGAGGCAGCAGUAGGGAAUCUUCCGCAAUGGGCGAAAGCCUGACGGAGCAACACCGCGUGAGUGAUGAAGGUCUUCGGAUCGUAAAACUCUGUUAUUAGGGAAGAACAUAUGUGUAAGUAACUGUGCACAUCUUGACGGUACCUAAUCAGAAAGCCACGGCUAACUACGUG
rnacentral:rRNA from 1 species